rnacentral:pre_miRNA from 1 species
CAGGGCUGGGGGCUCAGAGGGAACUCUCUUAGGGCAUCUCGACCAUGGCCUGGGCUCUGCUCCUCUUCAGCCUCCUCUCUCAGGGCACAGGUGA